rnacentral:tRNA from 1 species
ACUAGGAUCUGCUACAUAAGCAAUUGGGCCCAUACCCCAAAAACGAUAAAACACCACAUCUCCUAGUA